rnacentral:rRNA from 1 species
AUACGGAGGAUGCGAGCGUUAUCCGGAUUUAUUGGGUUUAAAGGGAGCGUAGGUGGGAUAUUAAGUCAGCUGUGAAAGUUUGGGGCUCAACCUUAAAAUUGCAGUUGAUACUGGUUUCCUUGAGUACGGUACAGGUGGGCGGAAUUCGUGGUGUAGCGGUGAAAUGCUUAGAUAUCACGAAGAACUCCGAUCGCGAAGGCAGCUCACCGGGCUGGAACUGACACUGAUGCUCGAAAGUGCGGGUAUCAAACAGGAUUAGAUACCCUGGUAGUCCGCACAGUAAACGAUGAAUACUCGCUGUUUGCGAUACACGGUAAGCGGCCAAGCGAAAGCGUUAAGUAUUCCACCUGGGGAGUACGCCGGCAACGGUGAAACUCAAAUGAAUUGACGGGG